AUACGUAGGGAGCUAGCGUUGUCCGGAAUUACUGGGUGUAAAGCGCGUGUAGGCGGUCCUGCAAGUGGUGCGUGAAAGCGCCCGGCUCAACCGGGCGAGGACGUGGGCGACCUGCAGGGCUAGAGGCAGGUAGAGGCGUGUGGAAUUCCGGGUGUAGUGGUGAAAUGCGUAGAGAUCCGGAGGAACACCAGUGGCGAAGGCGACACGCUGGGCCUGGCCUGACGCUGAGAGGCGAAAGCAUGGGGAGCGAACGGGAUUAGAAACCCCGGUAGUCCAUGCCGUAAACGAUGCUGACUAGGUGUGGCGGGUAUGAACUCCUGCCGUGCCGGAGCCAACGUGGUAAGUCAGCCACCUGGGGACUACGGCCGCAAGGUUAAA
rnacentral:rRNA from 1 species